AUGUGCUCUUCCCUGCCGAGCCCGGGCAGCUGCCUGUCUCUGCGCGUGUCUUUCGUGGAGCUUCACGCGGAGGCUCCGCUAGUGCGGCUGUGGGGCCUCCGCGGCGAGCGGCGCGAGGAGUACAUCCGCCUGGCCGAGGAGGUGCAGGCGCAGGCGGGGCCCCGGCUGGCGGCGUUGCCGGGCGCCGGGCCUCUGUCAGCGGGCGAGCUGUGCCUGGCGGAGGUGGGCGGGCGCUGGCGGCGCUGCCGGGUGCUGAGCCUCCUUCGCGGCGGCUCCGCGCCCGCCUACCGCGUCUUCCUGCUGGACGAAGGCCGCACGCUCAGCGUCGGCGCCCACGAUGUGGCCCGCGGCCCCGCCGAGCUCUUCCACCUGCCCUCCGAGGUGCUGGGCUGCAUCCUCGCCGACCUCGCACCGCCGGGCCUGGCCUCCCCCCACCACGGGCCCCAGCUGCCUCAGCGCCUCGGCUGGACGCUGGCCGCCGCCGAGUUCCUGGGCCGCCUGCAGGGCCAGGAGGUUUCGGGCCUCGUGAGAGAUGUGCUGGUGGCGCAGCACCUGGUGGUGCUGGAGCUGCCCUGGCUGCUGGCACAGAUGCGCCACCUGGGGCUUGCCGGCCACGUCUCCCCCAGCACCUUCGCCAGCCUGCUCACUACCUCCCUGGGGGGCGCCACCCACAGCGCCCUGCCACAGCCGCCCCCCCAGGCACCCGGGGGCACUGCCACUCCCCGAACCCAGGACGACCCCACAGCCCUGGACUACUUCUACCCACAGCUGCAGAUGAGAGUGACGGAGCCCAUGCUGGUGACCCAGGUAUCUGACCCCUGCAGGAUAUAUUGUCAACUGCGCAGCCUCGCCAGAGAGAUCCAGCUGCUUUCGGACGCCAUGCACCAAGCUUUUGAGGCCUCUGCUGGGAAAGACUUGAAGGAACCCCUGCUGGCCCCAGGAUCCCCUUGCGCCGCACGGGGCAUCGAUGGCUGCUGGUACCGUGCCCUGCUGCUGAAAGUAUACCCUCUGGAUGGCCCAGAGGAACAGCUUGGAGAGGUGGCGCAGGUGAUCUAUGUGGAUUAUGGGAGGAAGGAAUUUGUGACUAAGCGAGACCUGCGCAAUUUGCCUGCUGAGUGUUUCCGAAUGCCGGUGGUGACCUAUCCUUGCUCAUUGCAAGGUAUUACCGAUGGAGGAUGUGGCUGGACCUGCUCUCAGAUAAGUCAGCUUAAAACAUUGCUGUUGAGCAAGGUGGUGCAAGCCCACAUUGAAGCCUACUGUCCCUUUGAGCACCUCUAUUAUGUUACUCUCUAUGGAGAAGAUGGCCUGAACCUUAACUGCCUCUAUGGGGUCCAGGCCCAUUGUCUGGAGCAGAGCCUCCUUCACAGCAAUCAAAAGCAUUCCUCUGACUUAAUGGCUGAACUAAAGAAGGUAGGUGCCACAGCCAACGAAGAGCGUGCCUCUCUGUUGGGAGUUCAGUCCAUGCUUCCCGCUGACCCACUUCCUGUUGUGCGUUUGAAGGCUGGUGAGUACCACAGUGCUCAAGUGUCCUUCCUCCAGGAUCCCACAGACUUCUGGGUGCACCUGCAGGAGCAUCGCCAACCCCUCUGUUGCCUCAUACGGAAUUUAAGUGACUUCUACUCUCAGAGUAAAAAACUAGAGGGUAUUCUGCUUCAGCCCAAACCAGGAUCCCUGUGCUGUGUUGCGUUGAAGGAGAACUGCUAUCACCGUGCUGUUGUCACCAAGGUGCUGGGAAAAGGAAUUGAAGUUUAUCUGGUAGACAGAGGAAACACUGAAAUUAUUGACUUGCAUAAGGUGAAGGAAUUGCUUCCCCAGUUCAGAGAACUUCCUGCUGCAGCACUCAGAUGUGCAUUGGCUAAUCCUUUCCCACCAGGCCAGUCAUGGAGCCCAGAUGCUGUAGACUAUUUCAGGAAAGCCGUGCUAAACAAGGAGCUGGUAAUCAAGGUCUUAGGCAUGCAAGGGGACAUUUACAUAGUGGAACUUUUUGAUCAUUCACUAGCAGGAGAAAAAAACUUGGGCAAAAUCAUGUCUCAGCGAAAGUAUGCUGAGCAUCAUAAGGGUGAGGAAUUAGAGACUCUCCAGAAAGUGAUGAAUGAGCCAUUGAAGAGCAUGUCUGGAAUAGAGGGCAUAGGGCAGAAGCCUGUGAGAAAACAUUUCCCCAAAGAUGAAAAUGAACCCUCACCACAAUGUCACAGUUCAGCCCCUUAUCCUACUGAAACUUUGACUUGCAAAGCAUUUGCAAAAGAGGAUUCUAGCAUUGCCCCAACCACUUCACUCUGUGUUAUGCAAAACUACUCUGAAAUAAAGCCAGGGUUUUCUAGUGAAGGGCAUCUGGAAGUUGGAAAUACAGUAGAUGUGGUAGUAUCCUACACAGAAAGUCCUAGUCUCUUCUGGUGUCAGCUAGCUAAAAGUUCCCAAGACCUGAGAGCACUUAUGGCUAAAAUUCAAGAUUAUUGUAUGCAUUCAGCACAACCCCAUGAAUGGCCAAAUCCUGUAUGUUUGGCUAAGUAUUCUGAGGAUGAGAAGUGGUACAGAGCUCUUAUUACUAGUAAAGUAGGUUGUGCUGAAGAGGUGGAAGUUGCAUAUGUUGAUUAUGGGAACAAAGAGCGUGUUUCACUAAAGAAUGUCCGUGCAACUAAGACAGAGUUUCUGAAGUUGAAAGCUCAGGCUUUCAGAUGUAGCCUUUACAACUUAAUUCAGCCAAAUGGUCAGGAUCCAUUUGUGUGGGAUGAAAAAGCCACUGAAGCUUUUCAUGAAUUUGUGGAGUCAGCAAGCACAUUAGAACUGAAAUGUACCAUAUUUGCUUUUGCAGCAUUAAACAAUACAGAUUUCAUCAAUAUUGUGGACUUGAUUACCCCUUUUGAAAGUGUGUGCCAUUUUUUAACAAAGAAGGGUCUGGCCAGAUGUGUGCAGCCUCAAAAACCUCUAAUAUCUUCUGUUCAUCUUCUGUCAUACUAUUAUUCUACACAUGACAUUAAAAUAGGAAGUGAAGAGGUGGUUUAUAUCACACAUGUUAAUGAUCCCUGUCACUUUUACUGCCAACUUGCUAGAAAUGCAAAUGUUAUUGAGCGGUUAACUACUAGUGUUGCUAAACUCAGCAAAAUGCGGUACAAUUUGGAAACAUCACAGGGCCCUGGAAAUGUGUAUCUUGCAAAGUAUAUGGAUGGCUGCUGGUAUAGAGCAGUAGUAACUUCAGCAAAAGAUACCAAAGAGGUUUUCUUUGUGGAUUUUGGGAAUAGGCAGUUGCUAAAGAAUGGAGACUUGGUCCUCGUACCAAAGGAUGCUUAUGAGUUACUGCUUUUGCCAAUGCAAGCCAUAAAAUGCUCUCUAUCUGAUGUUGUUGAUGUUCCAAAAGAAGUUUCUGCAUGGUUUGAAAAAGCAGUACUAGAUAAGCCCUUAAAGGCUUUAAUUGUUGCAAAAGAACCUGAUGGAAAACUGAUCAUUGAACUAUAUGAUGGUAAGAUGCAGAUCAAUGCAAAACUGAAAGAGAGUUUGCAGUGCAGCAGAGGGACGGCCAAAUAUACAAAAAAUGGAGCUGCAGUGUCCAGAUAUCUGCUCAGCAGGGAACUAAACACUGAAAAAAGGCUAUCUUUGACAGAAAUAGAUAAACCAACUUUUGAGGACAAGAGGUGGAACAAUGAAAAUUUGGACAUAGUGGGCAAUAGCAAACACACUGUUGUAUGUAGAGAAGUAAGACAAUCCCAGCAGAAAACAAAAAGAGAGGUGACAAUAAAGGUUCCUGGACCAGUGGGGAAAAAUAAUGGAAAUGAUCCUGUAACAGGUAGGAGUGGUAGAGAUUCCAUGCUAAGCAGAGAAACCGCCCCUGAUAACUUGAAAAGCAGAAAUCAAUCUGAAACUAAUACACACUUUUCACUUAAAAAUAUUUGUGAUUUACCUCAAAAAAUCAUAAGUCUUGGUCUUAAAACUUUGAUGUAUGUUUCUCAUAUAAAUAAUCCAUCCGACUUCUAUGUUCACCUAGCAGAAGAUGAGCCGUUGCUUGACAGCAUUUCAGAGAAACUAAAUAAUUCUGAAAAGAUUGAGAGCCUCAGUGGGCAACAGCUUCACGUAGGAGACAUAAUGUGUGCAUUGUUUUCAGAAGAUGGCUUAUGGUAUCGAGCUGCAGUAAUUGAAAAACCCUCUGGUAAACUGGUGAGGGUGCAGUAUAUUGAUUAUGGCAAUACUGCACUGGUUAGCACCUGCAAAACAGCUAGACUCCUUGAAGAAUGCUCAUCAGUCCCAGUGAUGAGCCUUCAUUGCUCAUUGUAUGGAGUUAAGACCACAGAACUUUCAGAAUGGACACAGGAAGCAGUGCGGUAUUUCUCUCAAAGGACAAGUGAUAUUCAGCUAAAUGGUGAAUUUGUGGAGAAAACUGAAAGCAAAUGGAACAUUCAUCUCUGUGACAAAGAUGGUAAUGUAGCAGAGGAUUUGGUUAAUAAUUACCUUGCGUACAAACAGCCUCCUUUGGGGGAAACAUCUGACAAAAUGGAGAGUGACACUGAUCUGAUAAACCUGUGGGAAGUUGCUGUUCCUGAUAAGUAUAGCAAACCUUUCAAUGUGUCAAACACCAAAUCCUUCCUCUGGAACAUUCCUAAAGUAGGUCAAACUUUGAAAACCUUUUUGAUAGUUGCAAAGAGCCCAGGAUAUUUUUGGUGCCAGUUUGCUGACUCAGAUGAUAUUGGUUCAAUUGAAAGAAAGCUUCAGGAAGUUGGAGAGCUUAUGGUCAUGGAUGUAGAGGAUAUAAAAAGUGGCUCUCCCUGUCUAGCAAAGAAUAGUGAAGAUAAUACCUUUUACCGAGCAGUUAUUAGCAGUGUAGAGGGGGAAACCGUGAGUCUCAUUCAUAUUGACCAUGGAACCGAGGAACUUACCAGUGCAGAGAUGAUCAGGCAAAUUCCUAAUGACCUGCUGGUAAUACCACCUCAAGCAUUUCUUUGUUGUUUGUUUGGCUUUAACUCUGCUGAAGGUUUGUGGGCUGAAGGAAUAAAUAAGAUCUUCUGUGAUGUCACGGUGGACUCUCUAUUAGACACUACCAUCAUGGAAAAACAACACAAUGACCCUUUUGAAAUCCCCUUAUUUGUUGUUCAAUUGGAAUGUCAAAAAAUCAGCAUCAAUGAACAAAUGAAAGCCUUUUGGAAGCCUGUUGUUGAAGACUGUGCCUUAACUUUGACAAAUAAUAUUCACAAACCGGAAGAACAGAUUAAAGAUGUAGGGACAGAUCAUUCAAAGGUGGUUAUAAAUGAAACCAAAGUCUCUUCCUGUGCACUAAUGCCUUCAGAAGAUCUGUUAUGUUGUUCAGAGGCAUUCCAACCGGCAGAUAAGUGUUUAGUUGCUACAGGGAGUAGUAAUUUAUUUGGAGCAUUUCCCCCAACUUCUUCACCCAAAUCACAAACCAAGCACCACCAAACCACUUCUGAAGUACUUGACUUUGGAGACCAACACACUGUGUCUGAAACAUUUAAAAAGGGAACUGACUGUUCUGCAUUUGCAAAAGAAAGUGAUAUACCAAAUUUUGCAGAUGUUACUGAAACGCAGCUUCCUAAUGGUGGUGAAUCUGAGGUGCUAGAACUAGAUUUGCCUGAAACUCUGAAAGAGCCUGAAGGUCAAGCAGAAAUGUUAACACUGGAUACACGUCAAGUUCAUUUAGAUGUGGAUGACACACUGAGUGUAUCAGAUUUGGUGCCCUUUGAGGUGGCGACUUUAUCAGAUAUAAAUCAGCUGCCUUUUCAACUGAAGAUGCACCCAUUUGGAGACACACUGGAUCCGGAGACAAUUGAAGUGAGCCCUCCCCUGUGUGAGGAAACACGGGAGAGAGCAGAAUUGGACUUGCUUGACAUGACACAUGCAGAAGGGGAGUUAGAACAGCCCUCUUCACUAAAGGAUAAAAGUGACUGUUUACUGCUGGAACCUGUUGCACCUGAAGUUAAUCUUUUACAAGCUGGUAAAAUCAAGGAGGAUAUGUUGUUGGAGCUGCCUGCGGAUAAUGAAAUCCAGUUACCAUUUUCAGAAACUGGAUUCAAAGUGCAAGACUUCUUUUGCCGUGAGGACAUUGUGGAGGUGUGUGAAGCAGGACAAGAAAGCAAAGGCUACCGUUGUCUAGCAAGGCAAACUCUGCUGGAGAAGAACCACAUUGAAACACAGUUAAGCCUUGAUGUGGGUGAAAGAUUUAAAGAGAGCAAUUUGGUUGGAGAGGAUUUUUUGAGAAGCACACUGCUAGAUGAAGAAGCAGUUGACAUUCCAAGUCACAGUACAGAAAAAAAUGAAACUACUUGCAACUUAAAUGGCUUUGAUAUUGGUUCCAAAUGCAUGGUGUGGUCUGGCAUUCAUUGGUACAAGGCUCAGAUUUUAGGCGUAUCUGCUGAAGGUACAAAGGUUUUGAAUCUUUCAAGUGGAAAUGAAGAGGUAGUAAGUCCUAUCAAUGUUUGGAAUCGGAUUCCUGAACAGGGUGCAAGUCCAACUGAGAUGCUUCUCUUCUUUCUGCCCUAAUCUAUACCCUUAAUAUCUAUCCUGGAAUUAAGUAUUUGGAAUAGCAUUGCUGAUGAAGAAUUAACAUGGCUUCUGCAAAAAUAAAUAGGAUAUUGCUUCUCUAUAUUAAACAACAAAAGGGAUACUGUGCAUUCAACUGUCAAGCCACCUGUUGGCACAGAAGCUGUUGCUACUGGCACAGAUUAACGUCUGUAAAGGAAAGGUGUAUUUAAUACACUUGAGAGCACACACAACUCUCUAUGGUAUAAACGCUUAACUUGCCUGCAUCUCCUACAGUGGAGGAAGUGAGUGGUGUUUCAGAUGGCAAUGCUGAUCUUCCUGCUUUGUGGAUAUUGCACUAAAUUGCACCUGAGAGAUGGAGUCUUACACACAAGGCUCUUCUGUUUUUGGCAUUGAUGGCCAGCGUUUAAUGGGCAUGUCCUCUUUCAACCAGGAGAAUGCCACUUCUGAGUCUUUAAAAUAUGUUCCACUCAAGUAUGUUCAUUUUCUAAUGGUACCCUUUGGCAAACCUCAAAUAUGUGUUCAUUAUCUUUAAUGUUAAAGUUUGUUUAAGCUUUGGAGCAUCUUUGUAAAAGAAAUACUCUUCCUUGCAUAUUUUGAGUGCACUUCCAUUCAAAACAACUUUUUUUUAAGCCUUAGCUGUAUGAAAGGCUUUGUGUUUUGUUACUUUUUUGUUUUGUUUAAUGAAAAAAGAAUAAAGUUUAUACUGUGGGUAGUAUUCAUUCUUGCUGUUUCAUUUUCCUGCUUCACGGAUGGUGUGUGACCUCAGCCAUUAUAAAUAGGCUACAUGCAUGAUUGACCAUACAUAGAGAUGUGGAACUACGCUAAACCUUGUAAUAUUACUUGUAAUACUAUAUAUAGGAUUUUUGUACAACAAUGCACAGUUAGGGGUAUAGUAGGUGGGGAUCACUCCGCCCAUAGUUUGCAAUGGGUUUAUAACAGUUACAGCUUUGUUAGUUACAGCUUGCCCAAGUUUGGUUCCCUGCCUAUGUGACACCGAAUCACUAGGCAGCUUGAUUAGCUCAUUGUUGGUGAUGGCUGGCUGCACUUCCUCUGCCCACAUGGUUUGAUUUCAGACUUUGUGGCCAAAGGAAACAAAAUUUGCAGCCACAGCUUGUGCCACAACACAGGCAAAAGAAAACACUUCAGCUAACAUUAGGUAAUUGGCAGGUGUGUAGCCCUUUCCCAUCUGUUGAAGUGGUCCUUGGGGUUGGAGGUGAUCAGGAUCUGGCCCACUCUGUCUCAAGGGGAUCUCCCAGUAGGAAGCAGGAUACUUAACCCACACUUAACUGUGGAUCAGGCCCAGCACUUCUGCCACCAGCAAGAGAAGUGAUUUUUCCUGGCUCUCGUCCAGGCCACCACGACAGAGAGAGGCUUAGCAACAGGUAAUGUGUCCCAGCAGCCACUGUGAUCAAGUUUGGCAAUAGGAAAGGCAAGGCUAGCCAGACUAGAAGCAACAGUCCAAGUAUACCGAGCCCCAAGAUUAGGGCAAGGAGCUCACAACUGCACAGAAGCAGUGGUGCCAUUCCAGAGGGUUAGUAGCCACAUUCACUUUUAAGAAGAGGCAAAGCUGGCUCACUUGAGAUGGUUGAGCAUGUGUUGAGGCUAUGUGUGAGUUCCCCUUCUGACUCUGGUUCUCCCCCGCCCCUCAGAUUCCAUUGCCAUGCUCUUUUCCCCAGCUGGGACAGGCAUCCUCUGCAAGGGAGAAGCACCCACUAUCUCCAGGCUCUGUUGCCCUAUCUUAGCCCCUCCCUCAUUCUUCUCAACCUCCCAUUCCAAGCCCGAGCCUGGUCCCACCUCAGGACUCAUGAUACCAGUGAUGAGUUCAAGCACAAGUAACACCAAGGAUUCUCCUUGAUCUCUCAGCGGCUUUUGAAUGCUUUGAUGGUGUUUCCUGCUUGGCAGGGGGUUGGACUGGAUGGCCCUUGUGGUCUCUUCCAACUCUAUGAUUCUAUGAUACCAUGAACCAUAGCAGUAGCUUCUUGGAGCAGUCGUGGGUUGGAAAUGGGGAGACAAUGUGCUGCAGUGAUGUCUCUCUUACCUUAGGAAUCAUUUCCAUAGAGUAGUAGUGGGGGACUGCUACAUCAUGGGAGUUGUGUCCUCCAGAAGUCAAUCUCUUCCCCCAUGCUGUUCAACAUCUGUAUGAAGCCAUUGGGGUUUUAGAGUGUUACACCAGUAUGUUGCUGGCAUGCAACUCUACCUGUGCCAUCUGAAUCAGGAAAGGCUGUUCAGGUGUUGGACCACUACCUGGGGGAAGUAAUGAGCUUCAUGCAAGCCACUGUGGGUAGUUGAGUUUGGGAAGUAAGUGCGCCUGUUCUGGAUGUCAUGGCUUUCCUUUGUAAGGAGGAGGCUUGUUGCUUGGGGCUGCUCCUUGAAGCCCAGGAGGCUUUAUUGGCUAGGAAUGCAAUUUUAUUGGCUAGGAAUACAGGCCUUCCUGGGCAGAUCCAGCUUGAUGGCAGUGGGAAGAGAGCCCAUGGUAGUGUACUCCACAGUGACAUUGAAUUUCACCUUUGUUGUUGUUUAGUCGUUUAGUCGUGUCCGACUCUUCGUGACCCCAUGGACCAUAGCACGCCAGGCACUCCUGUCUUGCACUGCCUCCC